UCUCAGUUCGGACUGCAGGCUGCAACCCGCCUGCACGAAGCUGGAUUCGCUAGUAAUCGCGCAUCAGCCACGGCGCGGUGAAUACGUUCCCGGGCCUUGUACACAUCGCCCGUCAAGCCAUGGAAGCCGGGAGUGCCUGAAGUGCGUGAGCGCAAGCAGCGCCCUAAGGUAAAACCGGUGACUGGGGCUAAGUCGUAACAAGGUAGC
rnacentral:rRNA from 1 species